GAUCAUGGCUCAGAUUGAACGCUGGCGGAACGCUUUACACAUGCAAGUCGAACGGUAACGCGGAGAGAAGCUUGCUUCUCUCCGGCGACGAGUGGCGAACGGGUGAGUAAUACAUCGGAACGUGUCCGCUCGUGGGGGACAACCAGCCGAAAGGUUGGCUAAUACCGCAUGAGUUCUACGGAAGAAAGAGGGGGGACCCGCAAGGGGCCUCUCGCGAGCGGAGCGGCCGAUGACUGAUUAGCCGGUUGGUGAGG
rnacentral:rRNA from 1 species